rnacentral:rRNA from 1 species
GGUAGUAAAAGUCGUAACAAGGUCUCCGUUGGUGAACCAGCGGAGGGAUCAUUACCGAGUUUACAACUCCCAAACCCAAUGUGAACGUUACCAAUCUGUUGCCUCGGCGGGAUUCUCUGCCCCGGGCGCGUCGCAGCCCCGGAUCCCAUGGCGCCCGCCGGAGGACCAACUCAAACUCUUUUUUCUCUCCGUCGCGGCCUACGUCGCGGCUCUGUUUUAUUUUUGCUCUGAGCCUUUCUCGGCGACCCUAGCGGGCGUCUCGAAAAUGAAUCAAAACUUUCAACAACGGAUCUCUUGGUUCUGGCAUCGAUGAAGAACGCAGCGAAAUGCGAUAAGUAAUGUGAAUUGCAGAAUUCAGUGAAUCAUCGAAUCUUUGAACGCACAUUGCGCCCGCCAGUAUUCUGGCGGGCAUGCCUGUCCGAGCGUCAUUUCAACCCUCGAACCCCUCCGGGGGGUCGGCGUUGGGGAUCGGCCCCUCACCGGGCCGCCCCCGAAAUACAGUGGCGGUCUCGCCGCAGCCUCUCCUGCGCAGUAGUUUGCACACUCGCACCGGGAGCGCGGCGCGGCCACAGCCGUAAAACACCCCAAACUCUGAAAUGUUGACCUCGGAUCAGGUAGGAAUACCCGCUGAACUUAAGCAUAUCAAUAAG